rnacentral:rRNA from 1 species
UACGUAGGGUGCGAGCGUUAAUCGGAAUUACUGGGCGUAAAGCGUGCGCAGGCGGUUUUGUAAGACAGGCGUGAAAUCCCCGGGCUCAACCUGGGAACGGCGCUUGUGACUGGAAAGCUGGAGUGCGGCAGAGGGGGAUGGAAUUCCGCGUGUAGCAGUGAAAUGCGUAGAUAUGCGGAGGAACACCGAUGGCGAAGGCAAUCCCCUGGGCCUACACUGACGCUCAUGCACGAAAGCGUGGGGAGCAAACAGG